AAUGGGGCCCCACAGGCUUACUGAUCCUAACCAAACUCCGAAUACCCGGGAGUACUAGAUGGCAGACACACUGCGGAUGCUAACGUCCGUAGUGGAGAGGGAAACAACCCUGACCUCCAGCUAAGGCCCCUAAUUCAUGGCUAAGUGGGAAAGCAGGUGGGACGACCAAAACAACCAGGAGGUUGGCUUAGAAGCAGCCAUCCUUUAAAGAUAGCGUAACAGCUCACUGGUCUAAAUAAGUUGUCCUGCGGCGAAGAUGUAACGGGGCUCAAGCCAUGAGCCGAAGCUGAGGAUGCACAUAGUGCAUGGUAGCAGAGCGUAGUGUGACAUAGUUCCAUGCGUCUUUAACCUUCGUCAUCGAAGGUCUUAGACGCAAGGAGCUUUCUGUGAAGCCGGGGCGUGAGCCAUCCGGUGGAGAGAUCACUAGCGAGAAUGAUGACAUGAGUAGCGACAAACAGGGUGAGAGACCCUGUCGCCGAAAGUCCAAGGGUUCCUGCUUAAAGCUAAUCUGAGCAGGGUAAGCCGGCCCCUAAGGCGAGGCCGAAAGGCGUAGUCGAUGGGAACUAGGUUAAUAUUCCUAGGCCGUGAGGUGGUGACGGAUCACAGAGGUAGUUCAGGCUUAACGGAUUGUCUGGGCUGCUGAGUGGUCCCUGGAAAUAGCCCCUCUUUAAGACCGUACCCUAAACCGACACAGGUGGACUGGUAGAGUAUACCAAGGCGCUUGAGAGAACGAUGUUGAAGGAACUCGGCAAAAUACCUCCGUAAGUUCGCGAGAAGGAGGCCCAGUUUCUAGGCAACUAGUGGCUGGGGGCACAAACCAGGGGGUGGCGACUGUUUACUAAAAACACAGGGCUCUGCGAAGUCGCAAGACGACGUAUAGGGUCUGACGCCUGCCCGGUGCCGGAAGGUUAAAAGGAGAUGUGAGAGCGUCGAAUUGAAGCCCCGGUAAACGGCGGCCGUAACUAUAACGGUCCUAAGGUAGCGAAAUUCCUUGUCGGGUAAGUUCCGACCUGCACGAAUGGCGUAACGACUUCCCCGCUGUCUCCAACAUCGACUCAGCGAAAUUGAAUUGCCUGUCAAGAUGCAGGCUUCCCGCGGUUAGACGGAAAGACCCCGUGCACCUUUACUACAGCUUCGCACUGGCAUCAGGCACAAUAUGUGCAGGAUAGGUGGUGGGCUUUGAAACUGGGACGCCAGUCCCAGUGGAGCCUCCCUUGAGAUACCACCCUUAUUCUGCUUGAUGUCUAACCGCGGUCCGUUAUCCGGAUCCGGGACCCUGCGUGGCGGGUAGUUUGACUGGGGCGGUCGCCUCCUAAAGAGUAACGGAGGCGCGCGAAGGUUGGCUCAGAGCGGUCGGAAAUCGCUCGUUGAGUGCAAUGGCAGAAGCCAGCCUGACUGCGAGACUGACAAGUCGAGCAGAGUCGAAAGACGGCCAUAGUGAUCCGGUGGUCCCGCGUGGAAGGGCCAUCGCUCAACGGAUAAAAGGUACGCCGGGGAUAACAGGCUGAUACUGCCCAAGAGUCCAUAUCGACGGCAGUGUUUGGCACCUCGAUGUCGGCUCAUCUCAUCCUGGGGCUGGAGCAGGUCCCAAGGGUAUGGCUGUUCGCCAUUUAAAGAGGUACGUGAGCUGGGUUUAGAACGUCGUGAGACAGUUCGGUCCCUAUCUGCCGUGGGUGUAGGAUACUUGAGAGGAGUUGCCCCUAGUACGAGAGGACCGGGGUGAACGUUCCACUGGUGGACCAGUUAUCGUGCCAACGGUAGUGCUGGGUAGCUAUGAACGGAAAGGAUAACCGCUGAAGGCAUCUAAGCGGGAAGCCCCCCUCAAAACAAGGUAUCCCUGAGGACCGUGGUAGACCACCACGUCGAUAGGCCAGAGAUGUAAGUGCGGUAACGCAUUCAGUUGACUGGUACUAAUGGUCCGAUAGGCUUGAUUUG
rfam:Thalassobius mediterraneus strain CECT 8383 genome assembly, contig: 0012